ensembl:lncRNA
CGCCGCUACCCAACGUCCACGCGGACACGGACGUGCAGAACACGCGUCUUCCCAAGAUUACAAAACUCGUCGGGGGUUGGGGUAGGGGAAAGGUCUAGGGUCAAAGGUCAGAUGUGGAUCAUGGGUUGGGCUGGGGCAUAGCUAACAUCCCAUAAACUCACCCGCUCCUUCCACGGCUGCUUACGUCAGGCCGCUCAUCGUCUCCCUGACUAAAUGUUGUGUGUUUUGUUUAAUCAGACCUCUAAUAAUGGCCGUGGUGUUCAUUCAGACCUUGUGGUUCGCUUCGUGUCGGCCCCCGGCCCCUGGCCCCCCACAGCCCAGCUCCUGUCGUGGUCCGGCGGUCGGGCUCGAGGUGUCUGCAGGCUUAAUCCUGACGUCACUCGCACGGAGCCGUGAGCACAUUAGGAUAGCGAUAGCGGCACGCUCGAACUUAAGUAGGACAAGGUUGUGCUUAGCUCCCCCACACUCUCUCUCUCCAUGUCUUCCCUGAGCUCACCCCCCCCCACACACACUUGUACCUGAUGGAGUCCGUCUAACACAUGUUAGUUCGGGGGUAUUCAGCAUCCUACCGCGCCACCGUCCCUCCUCGGUUCGGAUAACUGUAACACUGCUACUUUCUUACUCUACUUGCAUUUACCAAAACGUUAAUGUGUAGCGCACUCUUAACUUGUGUUGACGCUAAGCUGAGUCGUCUGCUAAUCGCAUCACCGUAUACCAUGAGGACAUGUGAAGCCUUUUAUUUAAUCUAUUUAUUUGUUUACUUGUUGUCGUCUCAGCCUCUCGGCUCCGCCUCUCUCUCACCCGACGCGACGCCCUCGCUGACUGACCUCUGACCCCUGUAGGCCGUACCGUCGUGAACACGCCUCAAACGGCGCCGGCUGGCUGAUGGACCAUCCGUCGUUCUCCCUGCGGCCCCAAAGUGUGCUCAAACUGCCAGUGUGUCGUCGUGAGACAUCAGACGGGGUCAUGUCCUCGACGGAGGGCGUCUGCGUAGCCUGUGGUCCGAUCUGGAGGAACACGGUCCGGUAGUGAGGCGGUCUGUGGUCCGGUAGUGAGGUGGUCUGUGGUCCGGUAGUGAGGUGGUCUGUGGUCCGGUAGUGAGGUGGUCUGUGGUCCGGUAGUGAGGCGUUCUGUGGUCUGGUAGUGAGGCGUUCAGGUACGAGGAUGCAUUGAGCAGAGCAGUAACGCUGUUGUAACAUCGGGGGUCGUCUUGGGACUGUCUGGUCAGGGCUCCAGGAGUCGGUCUCUGUAGCAGCACCGUGCCAGCCUAGAGAAGGUGUUGAUGGGCUGUGUGGGAUUGGCCCCGACUCUGACCAAUGUCUCCAUUCCCCAGGAUCAGAGGUAGUUCCAAAUUAAAUAUUAAAAUAUUGUCUCGGUGUCUGUUCAGGACUGGUUUUGCGAUGGGCAUGGUUCUUUUAGGACUGGGAGUCAUUUAAAGCAUGUUGUGAUUAUUAUUAUUAUAAUAUAUAUAUUUUUCUUUCGGUGACUAUUUUAAACCACAAGAGGGAGACAACCCAUAUCAUUUCAGGGUAAAUGAUUUUACAGUCUGUAAAUAGUAACUAACUGUACAAAUGAGCUUGCUGGCCUUAUUCUCUCCUUUCUCUUUACUUUAUUUUUUUUUUAAAACCCGUUCAUCUCAGUUCAGAAUCUUUUUGUCGAUCUGAAACUCGACAAACCGCGUUCUGACGCCUUUACGAGGUCUUUAUCGGCGUUGUGAACAGGAACCACCGCGGCCAGAACUUCUGUUGCCGUGCUGUGUUGCCGUCCGCUCCAACUGCAUCUGUUUUACCCCCCCCCCCCCGCGCCACACGGUCUAUGCUGGUGAUUUACUUUUUAAACGAGGCAAAGGGAGGACUUUCUGUUUUUAAUUAGCUGAAGUUUGCACCGAGGCAGGAGAACGCUGCGACACCUCAACACCUCCGCUCCGUGGCGGAGCGUCGCUCGUUACGUUGACUUUGGUUUAUCUUCUGUGAGCCUUUUUAAACAUGUGUUGCUGAUUUGAGUUUAUUUAAUUUAAAUGCAUUGGGGACCGUGUUGUGCACGGGACUUUGACAGAGAGAGGAUAUUCAACUUAUUAAAGUGUAUUGUUUGUGCCAAUGCUAAUAAAGUACACUCGUGCGCUGGGAUAACGGUAGCUAACGCUGUAAUUUACAGUUAACGAAUCUCUACUAAUAAAGGAAAG